UAGUUAGUUAGGCAGAUAACUUUGUGAUGAGCCAGUGGAAGAGUUCAUAAUCCACUUUUGCCCUCCUGGGAGUGUGUGCAUGUUAUUAACUCUUGUUUUUCUCUGCUGGUAUUCCCUUCAGAAAUCAUUUCUACCAGUUUGGAGAAAUCCGGACGAUCACCGUUGUACAGAGACAGCAGUGUGCUUUCAUCCAGUUUGCCACAAGGCAGGCUGCGGAAGUGGCUGCUGAGAAGUCCUUUAAUAAGUUGAUUGUCAAUGGCCGUAGACUCAACGUGAAAUGGGGAAGGUCCCAAGCAGCCAGAGGAAAAGAAAAAGAGAAGGACGGAACUACAGACUCUGGGAUCAAGCUAGAGCCCGUGCCAGGACUGCCAGGAGCUCUCCCUCCGCCUCCUGCAGCAGAAGAGGAAGCCUCUGCCAACUACUUCAACCUACCGCCCAGUGGUCCUCCCGCUAUGGUGAACAUCGCCCUGCCGCCACCUCCGGGUAUCGCCCCGCCCCCACCCCCAGGUAACUUGCACCUUCCUUCUU